GGGUGGAGUUUUGUAGCACUGAUGCUGCCCUGUUGAAACCAGGUGGAAGGGAAGGAGACAGGCGCUGUUCCUGCUUCAUCGUGGUUCAGCUAUGUUAGCGUUGGUGUUGGUGUUGGAUUUCUCACCUUUUACCCUAACAUAUCUCAAAAGUUUAAUAUCUGUCCUGCAGGUCAACAUGGCUGCCAGAGCAUUUUCUUCUUUCCCAGAAGUGCCCUCCAUGAGGUACCCAUGGGCUGCCCUUUAUGACCAUUCAUGAGCUCUGGGCCACCCCCAUAUUCUCCAUCCUGGUGGCCUUUGGGACCUCACCCUCCAUCUCCAUCUCCACCUCCACCAUUUGAGACUUUAGCCGAUCCAGAAGCUGGUGUCACUCCCAUGAGUCACAACAACAAGCACUCUACCAAAAAUGCCAAGAAGGACCAGGAAAAUGCUGGGGCCAUUUUCAGUUGGCAGUGUGAAUCCAUGGGGACCUCCUCUGUUAACUGGAAGAUUCUGCACACCCUGCCUACCCUAGAGGCCACCCUACGGGCUCCUGGGCACAUCCACCUCCUGAACCUUGGUGGCCCUGGGGACUACCCUAAACCCCUCCACCUACACCACUUGGUAAGAUGAUCUGAGCAGUAUGUGUUGACUUGCAAAACACAUUCAUCUAAUUUUUGUUGUUGUGAGUCUUGGAGAAAGUGCAGAGGUGUUACCACCAGGCAUUAUAAUGCAAGAGAAAUGUGUCUGCCGCCAUUACCACAUUCCUCGAGUGUCUCAUGAUCCACAUAUCAUCUUUGUGUCAUUUCUCCCACUCUGUGUUGGUACAUAUGUCUCUUGUGGAGAUGGAAUGGGGCCAUAUACAGAAAAGCAGGCAUGGCGCUUCAGCAGAUGUGUGCCAUACACAGUCCACGUGCUGGGCGGUGGGAGGCAUGAGGCUCAGCCUAACGUAUAUCUAUCCAGUUGAGCCCUCACUCAUCCACAGUUGUUUGAUGAGUCAUGAAAGCAUCUGAACCAGGGCUAUAACAGGUCUUCAUCAAAGUUUAAGGGAUGGUUCUCCCCUUCACCUUGGGAUCACCUGAAGCAUGUGGGAUACCCUCUGCAUGUGAUUUGGGAUGUGAUUGGGCCAAAGAGUUUAAGUUGUUUGAGGAAUGAGGUGAUGGUUUUUGUUUUUAGGUUUUUUUUUUUUUUUUUUUUUUUGUCUCUGCACAAUCUACUCCAAUCAAAAUAAACCUCCAUCCCUUCUAGGCUCUUUUGCA
rnacentral:lncRNA from 1 species